CAGCAGCCGCGGUAAUACGUAGGUGGCAAGCGUUGUCCGGAAUUAUUGGGCGUAAAGGGCUCGCAGGCGGUUUCUUAAGUCUGAUGUGAAAGCCCCCGGCUCAACCCGGGGAGAGGCAUUGGAAACUGGGGAACUUGAGUGCAGAAGAGGAGAGUGGAAUUCCACGUGUAGCGGUGAAAUGCGUAGAGAUGUGGAGGGACACCAGUGGCGAGGGCGACUCUCUGGUCUGUAACUGACGCUGAGGAGCGAAAGCGUGGGGAGCGAACAGGAUUAGAUACCCUGGUAGUCCACGCCGUAAACGAGGAGUGCUAAGUGUUAGGGGGUUUCCGCCCCUUAGUGCUGCAGCUAACGCAUUAAGCACUCCGCCUGGGGAGUACGGUCGCAAGACUGAAACUCAAA
rnacentral:rRNA from 1 species